GAUGAACGCUGGCGGCGUGCCUAAUACAUGCAAGUCGAGCGAACGGACGAGAAGCUUGCUUUGCUGAUGUUUGCGGCGGACGGGUGAGUAACACGUGGAAAAUCUACCUAUAAGACUGGGAUAACUUCGGGAAACCGGCGCUAAUCCGGGAUAAUAUUUUGAACCGCAUGGUUCAAUAGUGAAAUACGGUCUUGCUGUCAGUUAUCGAUGGAUCCGCGCUGGAUUAGCUAGUUGGUAAGGUAACGGCUUACCAAGGCAACGAUGCAUAGCCGACCUGAGAGGGUGAUCGGCCACACUGGAAGUUAGACACGGUCAAGACUCCUACGGUAGGCCGCAGUAUGGAAUCUUCCGCAAUAGGCGAAAGCAUGGCGGAGCAACGCCGCGUGAGUGAUGGCGGUCUUCCGAUCGUAAAACUCUGUUAUUAGUGAAGAACAUAUGUGUACGUUACUGUGCACAUCUUGACGGUAACUAAUCAGAAAGCCACGGCUAACUACGUG
rnacentral:rRNA from 1 species